ACAAGGUCCUAACAAAAACAGGUUGCGGGAAUAAAACUUGAAACUUGAGUGUGCAAAUAAUAAGCAAGUCCAAACCUUGUAUGUGUAGUCGUUGGACUCAAGGUUCCCACGUAAAAGCAAAAGUACUACUUAUUUCUGGCUAUGCUAAAUUUUUAAAGAAAAAUCAUAUAAUCUAAAAAAUAAAAAUAAAGAAUAAAACAGUUUACUAAUGUAAAGCGACAAUCUAGAUUUUUAUCGACUAAUAAUGUUGACGAAAAUCUUCAAAUAUAUUGAUUACCAUUAGCUAACACGGGGGCCUCGGUGGUCAAGUGGUCUAGGUAGUUACUACUGCAAUCACUAGCCAGACAACACUGAGGUUGUGAGUUCGAACCCCGCUUGUGCGGGUGCACUCGACUCCAAACCUAAUUGACAAUGAUUGUCAGUUUUCCUAUCGAAGUUUUUUUUUCUCCGGGCUUUCCGAUUUCUUCCAGCAAUAAAAAAUGACCGCCACGAAAUAGCCUAAAUGCGGCGCUUAAAAGGGGCGUUAAAACACCAAAAAUCAAAUUAAGUCAAAUUAGAUAACACUGAGCACGAAACUGACUUAACAUUUAUAUGGGUCGUCGUUUUUGCCUUAGUGAAGAUAAAUAAAUUUUAAUUGGCGUUAGAAUUUUCAAUAUUUAUAUUCCUGUUUAAUUGAAUUUGAGUUUUGGAAAUAUUUAAUUACGGUAAAUUAAGGAAAAUUAUCCAGCAUGAUAAUCACUUUUAUCUAGAAUGAUCAAUAUAAGAGAAGGCAAUACAACACCAUUUCAGUUUUGAAGUUCAAUGUUCUCAUUGUAAAGAAAAAAACAACAAAUGCCAAUUAUUUCAAUUUUAGAAUUAUUUUAAGAAGAAAAGAUAAUAGUUGGCCUAAUAUUGUGAUAAAUUACAAUAAUAUACAGUUAAAGCAAUAAACCUGCCACCCAAUAAAGAUCAGAUGUUUUAUGCUUAUUUCUGUUAUUUGGUGGAUAUUGUAGUAUAGUGCAAUGAAAACCCUAAAGAAAAUUUAUGAAAACUGAAAAAAAGUCAUAUAUUUAAAACGGGGACACAAAACUGAAAAUAUUGACUAUUUUAACAUAAAGAUAUGUAUAUAUAAUUAUACAUAUUUUUUAGGAGCGUAUUCUAAUUUUUCGUAUGAAUAAUCUGUGACCGAUAUCAAAAUCCUAUUCCACA
rnacentral:lncRNA from 1 species